AUCCUUCCGGUUCAUUGCAGAUGAUGAAUGGGAGCUUCACGCGCAUGCGUGACAUGUGCCGGCCUGGUUACGACGGGGCACAGUCCCUUCUGAGC